CCUACGGGCGGCUGCAGUGAGGAAUAUUGGUCAAUGGACGCAAGUCUGAACCAGCCAAGUAGCGUGCAGGAUGACGGCCCUCCGGGUUGUAAACUGCUUUUAGUUGGGAAUAAAAGGGGGCUCGUGAGCCCCGUAUUGUAUGUACCAUCAGAAAAAGGACCGGCUAAUUCCGUGCCAGCAGCCGCGGUAAUACGGAAGGUCCGGGCGUUAUCCGGAUUUAUUGGGUUUAAAGGGAGCGUAGGCCGGCUUUUAAGUCAGCUGUGAAAGUCCGCGGCUCAACCGUGGAAUUGCAGUUGAAACUGGAGGCCUUGAGUGCACACAGGGAUGCCGGAAUUCCUUGUGUAGCGGUGAAAUGCGUAGAUAUAAGGAAGAACACCAGUGGCGAAGGCGGAUGACUGGACGGCAACUGACGGUGAGGCGCGAAAGCGUGGGGAGCAAACAGGAUUAGAUACCCGAGUAGUC
rnacentral:rRNA from 1 species